rnacentral:rRNA from 1 species
GUGAACGCUGGCGGCAGGCCUAACACAUGCAAGUCGAGCGGCAGCGCGGGGGCAACCUUGGCGGCGAGCGGCGGACGGGUGAGGAAUUCGUCGGAAUCUGCCUUUUUGUGGGGGAUAACGUAGGGAAACUUACGCUAAUACCGCAUACGACCUACGGGUGAAAGUGGGGGACCUUCGGGCCUCACGCAGAAAGAUGAGCCGACGACCGAUUAGCUAGUUGGUGGGGUAAAGGCCCACCAAGGCGACGAUCGGUAGCUG